ACGGGCUGACAGCAAUUUUAGUUUUGGCGCGCAUUUGUCGUUUGUUUACGUUACCAGUUUGAGUGUUUAGUUCCCGCUUCAAAGUUUGGAGAACCAUCCGAAUCCGACUUGGAAACACCAACCCGAAGGUUCCGUUUAUCACUAUUCGUGGAAUAUCCAUACUCUUGACCAUGACGGGAACCAGUCAAGAUGUGUACUCCACUGGGAUGAAGACCAUCAAGUUCGGUUUUACGUGGACCAUGCACAAUUUCAGCCUUUGGGAGGCGAAUGUGGAGGGAGCACAAUUUUCGCCAAAAUUUCCACCUGGACCAGAUGAGCAGUAUCAAUGGACUUUGAAGUAUGUUCCCCAAUCGUUGAAUCACGACACGUCUUGUUCCCUAUAUGUGCAGAUGACUUCUCCGUUGAUAACGGAACCUAAAGUGUUAGCAUAUUUCGAAAUCAAUGCUACAGAUUCAAAAGGGCUUACUAUAGUUCAUAAAUGGUUUAAGGCAUGCUUUGGUCAAGGUGCAUAAAGUUGGGGCUGGCCGUAUUUUGUCGAGCGUAAUACAUUGCUUGAGAGGGUGAAACCAGCUGAUCAACUGAACAUAC